GCAUGUUCACAUGAUUAAAGGUAUUCCGGUAGACGAUGGGGAUGCGUUCCAUUAGAUAGUAGGCGGGGUAACGGCCCACCUAGUCUUCGAUGGAUAGGGGUUCUGAGAGGAAGGUCCCCCACAUUGGAACUGAGACACGGUCCAAACUCCUACGGGAGGCAGCAGUGAGGAAUAUUGGUCAAUGGGCGAGAGCCUGAACCAGCCAAGUAGCGUGAAGGAUGACUGCCCUAUGGGUUGUAAACUUCUUUUAUAAAGGAAUAAAGUCGGGUAUGCAUACCCGUUUGCAUGUACUUUAUGAAUAAGGAUCGGCUAACUCCGUGCCAGCAGCCGCGGUAAUACGGAGGAUCCGAGCGUUAUCCGGAUUUAUUGGGUUUAAAGGGAGCGUAGAUGGAUGUUUAAGUCAGUUGUGAAAGUUUGCGGCUCAACCGUAAAAUUGCAGUUGAUACUGGAUAUCUUGAGUGCAGUUGAGGCAGGCGGAAUUCGUGGUGUAGCGGUGAAAUGCUUAGAUAUCACGAAGAACUCCGAUUGCGAAGGCAGCCUGCUAAGCUGCAACUGACAUUGAGGCUCGAAAGUGUGGGUAUCAAACAGGAUUAGAUACCCUGGUAGUCCACACGGUAAACGAUGAAUACUCGCUGUUUGCGAUAUACAGCAGGCGGCC
rnacentral:rRNA from 1 species